rnacentral:rRNA from 1 species
GAUGAACGCUGGCGGCGUGCCUAAUACAUGCAAGUCGAGCGAAUGGAUUAAGAGCUUGCUCUUAUGAAGUUAGCGGCGGACGGGUGAGUAACACGUGGGUGACCUGCCCAUAAGACUGGGAUAACUCCGGGAAACCGGGGCUAAUACCGGAUAACAUGUUGAACCGCAUGGUUCGAAAUUGAAAGGCGGCUUCGGCUGUCACUUAUGGAUGGACCCGCGUCGCAUUAGCUAGUUGGUGAGGUAACGGCUCACCAAGGCAACGAUUCGUAGCCGACCUGAGAGGGGGAUCGGCCACACUGGGACUGAGACACGGCCCAGACUCCUACGGGAGGUAGCAGUAGGGAAUCUUCCGCAAUGGACGAAAGUCUGACGGAGCAACGCCGCGUGAGUGAUGAAGGCUUUCGGGUCGUAAAACUCUGUUGUUAGGGAAGAACAAGUGCUAGUUGAAUAAGCUGGCACCUUGACGGUACCUAACCAGAAAGCCACGGCUAACUACGUGCCAGCCGCCGCAGUAA